GGAGUGGCCAACUAAGUCGCUUGAUGUUUCAAGACGACAAAGAUGCCCGAAGCGUAAUAAUUAAGUAUAAUAGUUUCAGUGUACAAGGACAAGGGUGACAUUCAGGAUUGCAACAACUAUAGGGGUAGUUGGUAAGUCAUACUGUGAGGGCUUGGAAAUGGGGUUGAGGUUUAGGAGGGGAUCAUGACUAUUGCUAAGAACCAUUUCGGCCUCAUUGUUUGAGGCUAAACCCCCAUAUCCAACAUUUGGUCAGGC
rnacentral:misc_RNA from 1 species